UCACUCACUCAUUCACUCACUCACCCAUCUCUCUCUCUCUCUCUCUCUCUCGCUCUCUCUCUCGCUUCAUCAGUUUCUGCAUCAGCUUCAGUCAGGCUAGAAGGGAGUUAGAUGCCACUGAGUCUACUGUCAGGUAGGCAGCAUUAGAUCCUCCAACCCACAGGAUUAUUCACAUUUUCUUUCAGUCUUCCUUCCUCAACAUCUUCUUACUCUUCUUCUUCCUCCUCCUCAUCCUCCUCCUGCCUUCUUUCUCUCUCCUACUUCCACACCCUGCCUCUGAGUGUGUUGGAGAGCGGCACCAUUCGUGUGGUAAAGCAGUGGGAGUGGACCUCAGCGUGUGUAUGAGUGUGUGUGUAAGUACUCUUGUGUGUGUGUGAGAGUACGCUUGUGUGUGUGUGUGAGAGCGAGGGAGCAUCAGCCUCUCCAGUCCUCCACACUCUCUCCGUGGAACAUCCCUUCUUAAAUGGACUUUUAUAUGGGUUUGAGACUCUAUCGCCACUGAAAGCAACGCCACUGCCGAAACUCUACAUGUUGGAAUAAUAUAUAGCUCAGGAAAGUCCCAAGAUGAGUGAGGAAGCUAAGGAAAAAAGCACUGGAAAACCAGCACAUCGCAAGAAGAAAGGAAAAAAGAGUCCGAUCCCAUCAACAUCCGCAGCGACAUCAACAUCAACCUCAGCACCAGGAACUAGUUAAUCUUGCUGCUGCUAAUGACGGUAACCUUGACACCAGCUUUAGUAGUACAGAGCCGGAAGACCCUUUGGAUGAAAGUUCAGCUCAAGCUAAACAUCAUUUGACUAGGAAACAAGCCAGGACAGCCAAAGGAGACUUGCAGUACAAACAAAUCUUCUGAGGUCAAAGCAGUGGGUGAUCGAGGAAGUGUAUGAACCCCGAACCCACCAAUUCAGGGAGAGGCUUGUCCACCUGACUGUGGAGUGCAGAAAGGACAAGACAGUUGUCUACACGGAGCCAGAGUCACAGCUCCCAAAACCCAACAUCGCUACAGCGCCAAAGCCUGCUAAACCAGCUGCUAUUAACAAACAUAAGACAAGGUUCACCAGCUGAAGAACAUUCUGGAAUAUUCAACCAACACAUUAUCCAUAUUCAGUUAGAUUGAUGAAAUAUAAUAUAGAAUGCCUAAUAUGCCCACAACUGUAUUGUAGUAUCGCUAUUGCCAUCUCUUGUACAUAUGUAUACACUCUUAGAAAAUAAGGUUUCAAAAGGGUUCUUCGGCUGUCCCCAUUGGAUAACCCUUUUGG